CUCACGUUCACUGUUGCACCCUGACUGUUGAUCAACUUAAUGCAUCACCAAUGCACAGCAGGCGCACGCGACGUCUGGCUAACAUGCUACGUGCUAACACCAGCAGUGACCUUUGUGAGGUGAGUCCGUUUAUCCCUGAAGCUGAAAACUCGUUCUAUUUGAGGAGCACAGCAGGACCAACGAGGUCCAGCGGACUGGUUCCAUUAUGCUUUGAGGAGGAGGGAGUAAAGCAGCUGAAUCCGGAGCAGAUUGUGGAGGAUGUUUCCGUACACAAGUGGAUUCUUCAUGCGAGAAGGUCAAGAAAAACUUUGUCGUCUCUGAGCUUCAUAGUGAUUAAAAGGUGCAGACUUUUUUGUAGCCUAAAGUACAAAAAUAGUACAUUUAAACUAAAUGAUCCUUUUACUUUUUUCAGUACAGUUACUUGAUUAAAUAUAUUUGAAGUAACCAGAGACUAACAGGCACCGUUUUGCUCGUGGUUUCGUGGGGAAAAGCCUCCCACCUUUCAUUCGCUGUCAUAAUUGGGUGGUCUUCUCAAUCAGAGGCUGCAGAGAUGCACUUUUCUCAACUUCUCAGCCAUGAGGCCGUGUAACCACAGCAGGCUGCUUCUCUCUCCCACAGCGGGGCUUCGGUCAAGGUUCUCACAUUCUUGUGUUCAUCCAAUAGCUUCCCUCAAUUAACUGGGUUAAUGUUGGUGUGAGAUCCCUGCAUGUGACCGCGAGUGCAUGACGCAAAAGGGUUCUCAUGCGCCGACAAAAAUAAAUUGCUGUAAACUCCCCUGUAACUGAGCGAAUGAGGGAGUUUGCUCGUCUUAAAAACGCAGUCUGAGAAAGUGGAUCCGGACUUUGCAGUCGCUGCUUUCCAGGAGGCCAAGCGUCCUGGUAACCGGAGCCGAACGCAGGACGCGGGAGAGACAGUGAAAACACCAACUGAAGAGGAAGAGGCACAUCCCAUCUGAUCCCUGGAGCCUAAUCUGUGAUGACAGUCCGUCUAAUGACGGCGUGUCUCAUCGCUGAAGCACAGCGAGCAGCGAGGCCACGCGGAGCGGAUGAAAGCAACAGGACGGCGUCAACGCCGCAGGCACACGCAACUAAAUCCAAGACAUUACCCCUCCAGCCCAACUCCACCACGGAACACAGAUGCUACCAACCAAAUCACUACUGGAGCAGAGUUUCAACUUUAAAGCACAAGAAUAUUACAGCGUGAAUGGAACCGUAAAGAUGUAUUUUAUUGAGAUCUCACACCGCGGAUUUAAUAAUAAUCACGUUGGGUAGAAUGAACAUAUUCAAAUAUUCAUAUUACAAAUACACACAAUGCCAAGGCUCGGGAGUCCGAACCAAGACAGUGUGCUUGAUUACUCCCUCCAUUAUCCGUCUUAGACUCAAGACAUUUCCACACGUCUAAAGUAUUUAUGGGCGAUUCUGCAGUCCGACAAACAUCCUUGAAAACAGCCAAUUUGGAACCAGCCCACAGAGGGGAGUGCGUGAAAACCUCCCCAUCAGAGGUCAAUUCAAUUGAGCUGGAAAAAGGGUUGUGAAUAACUAUGGCAACCUGUGAAUGGCUCCCUACUGCCCGCUGAAAAACUGAAUAACAUUAAGCUGAAGGGGGGGGUAGGGAGGGGGUAUCCUCUCCCCAACUGCAUUCCAGUGGAUUCUCCAGAAGAUGCCGUUCAGUCGGAGACCUUGCAGACACAAAGCCGGCCUGGCAGCGGCAGCGAGGCUCCUCGCAGGCAGCUAGGCAACCGGCCUUUUGUGCAAACCCCUUUCUCCUGAGCUCAGGACUCCAGUUCAAGAACCAGAAACGCCGAACCCUCUUUUCACAGCUCAGGGAGGCCUUGGAGAAUACUUAUUAACCGGCUCGCCUUCUCACGCAGACGUUUACUCCUUGUGGUGGGGGGGAGAGAGCCCAUCGGGGAGGUGGAAGGACUUUUAUGUUUAUACUUUAUCAAUUUGUGCAUAUUGUUCAUAAAUUCACCAAAGAUUAUUACUAUACAGCCUAAUUUGCAUAUUUAACAUGGAGGGAGAGGUUUGGGUCAGUCUGAGGUCAACAGAAUACAGCCGGCCGUCUCAUGUUGUGUGUUCCUUUGUCAGAUUAAUACCACAAUAUAUACUUAAUGGACCAUUACUAUUAGACAAACACAACAUUGCACAGAGUCAGACUCCAUCAGUAGAAUGUUUUAAGUUUAUAAAACAGCAUUUCCCGGAGCGAUCAGCAUCCCAUAAUGCAUAACAAGCCUCUCCAUUUGUUUAAACAGUAUUUAAUCAAAGGCUGCUGCUCGGGUUUGGGCUUCUCUGAUAGCGGACAAGUCGAGUCCUGCGGUCCGGCCGGCUGGAGCUGUGACGGGCUUCAUUCAGAGAAACAGCUGUGGUGGGCGGCGCCCGCUCGAUGACCUCAGCGACAUACCUGCUCUGACCUCACCGACUCAUUCACAAUCACCUGCACAUUUCUCCCAAAUGGGAGUUUCAACAUCACAUUCCCAGAACUGAAGGUCAAUUAUACCUAUUAUAUAUAAUCAGGACUGGCACAGCAAGUAUACGAGCUAAAACAAAACUACGAGGGCUCUGAAUUCCGCCCUUCACAAGGUGUAAAUCAGACGAGUAACACGGAGUCAGUGAGAGGACAACCAUGAAUCCUUUGGGACCUCGGGAAGCAGUUGAUAUCCGAAGUAUGCCAGGAAUGUAACGGCUGGUGCCCGCCUACCAUCACGUGCAUCACCAACACCUUUGAGGGUGAGAGGACAUCAGGUCUGACCAACCAAGAAGUGAUGCAACGCAGUCCCUGACCUCUGAAAGACACCUCAAAGACGUGCACCAACAUCUUUUCAGAAAUUCCUUGAGGCGUCUCAUUACAUGUCAAAACUCUACAAGAGGUCACAUCCUAAGAUCCACAUCGAUACAGAAUAAACAUCAACUGUGAGUCUGUUACCUUUGUGUAUUGAAGCAGAGCAUGAACACACUAAAACUACCUUCAGCGGGAGCCUGCAGCGCAUUCUCCAUUAUGUGGGUCAUCUCCUCCCUCAGUUUGUGAGCACUCACAGCCCCAUUGAAGUAGGCCUGUUACUUUACACUCCCACGGUACUACGCAUGGACUCACACACACACUAUUUCUACUGAUGCAGCUCAGCUCAUAGCUUCCUUUUUCUGUUAGUAAAAAUGAGGGACAAUAACCACCAAAUGCUGAAUGACACAUGAAAGAAGCCUUUGUGUGUUUUCUCGUACGGUGUCGCUGAGGUUACAACAACAAGCGCACGGAGUUAGUUGGAUUUCCUUGUUGCAACAGGAGAGAGUGUUUAAGACCAGAAGGUUUGUGAAGAUAAUAAAUCAUCACUCAGAUCUGAUCGUCACAGAAACCAAGAUAAAGACACCUGUGAUUUCAUUUUUAUUCCAAGAUAAAAACGGGUGUUCUGUCUCCCCACAAGGAACAACAAAGACACAAGUGGCAGCUUCCCUUCCACUGCUCUUAACAGUGCAGCUAUUUCCCCCACCCAAUACUGUAGAUGUGGGGUAUCAGUGACAUGACCAUUUAAUGUGUGUGUGUGAAAAGCUAGUGGUCUGAAUGGAGCCCCCCCCCCCUCUCACUCAAAACUCAGCCAUCUGUCUUUGCUGCACCAGUCAGGGACGGAGAGCUAAAACCAGAUUAAAACAAUACUUUGACCCGCACUAAUCCCAAGAUCUGUUCCAGCGCUGGCUCGCUGCAGGAACAUCUACGGUGGACCCAAUGGGACAUAAGUGGAAGUAUAACCACAGGCGGGGACGUGGUGGCCACGAGGGAGCUGGUGACGCAGGUUGUGCGUGACAAUAGAUGCCUCUUCACACAAAACUAAAUGGUACGAGGACGAACAUCUUUGAGGUGCAUUAUGGUCUUUUGGACAAAAGCGUAUAAACCAUGGCGUAAUUUAAAGGCGCCGUUAACAGCCACACAUAUUUUCCAUUUUAUCUGUUUAAUCACCAGAGAAGCGGGAGGCCGAUACUCUGUUUGCUAAUCCUCAGGUCACUGCUGGAAAUAAACCUCCUGUCACACAAGAGACAGCUGAUCCAGAUGUGAUGGCCAUUAAUAAAUAAUACAGAGCUUAACUUAAACAUUAGACUAAAUGUAACAACACAUUGUGCAUUAAGUACAAGUCGCAUCGCUGUACAGGGGAGGACAUUGAAACGACCCUAAAAACCAGGAUUAGAAGAAUCUUUUUUGUGCAUUUCUCUCAAUGAAACAACAGGUAAGGACGAGGUUAACAAAGCUGUGACGGUAAAGAAUAGUUAUUACAUCUUAUGCAUGAAUAGUGAAAUAUUUAAAAUGUUAUUGUGCCCAUGCACAUUUUAUCAAAAGACGUGUCAAUGAGAAAGAAGUUGGCCUUGCAAAGUGAAAAGCUCCCAGGAGGAACUCUGUGUGGCGUCUGCAGCACAGCGUUGUUUAGACGUUACAACCAGAACAUCUUAUCAACGCGCCGGUGCAAUAUGAAGACAGAGGGAUCAUAGUUUCAGACGCGACCCUGGACUUGGUUUCUCUUCCAUCUGCAGACGACUGGUGGUAAGACUAACAAAGCAACACCAACGUCUUUGCAGCCACGCUGCAGAAUCCUCAGUUACAUCGAAGUUGGCCUAUUUUUUUUCUCACCAUUUCUUUAAAGAAAUUAUGCCUGAAUCUUAAUGUAGAGAAGUAGCGUUGCAUCAUGGGAGUUCACCACCCUUUCUCAAAUUAAAGUGACCAUGAUUUGAAAAUAAUUGAAAAUUGUGUUAGGUCAAUGAACUUAUUGUAAGUCGCUUUGGAUAAAAGCGUCAGCUAAAUGACAUGUAAUGUAACUGAAAUAAAUGAGCCAGAAUCUGUGCCAAAUAUCCUCCAUUUACUCUGUUUUUGCUCUCUGGUUUUACGCUCCAUACAAUCUACAAACCUGUUUGAAUGCAGUGCGACAGGAUUAACGGAUGCAGCUGCACAACAAAGAAGACCCUCACAAAAAUAACUCAGAGUUUGAAGCCCCUUGCCAGUCUGGUGUCCGUAAUCACCUCCCAACGCCCCCCCCUCCUUUCAUUGUUCAGAGGCACCGAGCAGAAAAGGCCCCUUGUGCUUGUGUCUCCAGCUUUUUGGUGGUACUUUUACAAAGAGGUCACCACCCGUGGCCCGCAGACCAGCAAAGGCUUCACCACAACAACAACAGCACCACAUGUGGUCGUUAGGGGAGCAAACUGCCCGUCCCACUAGCUUUCAGUCCCAGUUAGCUGGCUUUCAUUUCCCAUGUCUUCCUAAUAUAUACUCAGUAAUGAUUCAUAUUCCUGCCCAACCUCCCGGUGUGUUACAAAGUGACACCGAGGGUCCCAAGCAAGCGUCAGCGUGUGACGGGCCGGGAUGAGAACGCGUUGCGUAAACAUGCGCAAAUUAGGAGGAGGUGAAGCUGCCCGUGGCGCCUCAUCUCCAGCUGGAGAGAGCAGAGUGUCAGCUGUCAGGCGGGGCAUUCAAACACCCGCCCCCACCCCCUCCACCCCAACAACACACACAAAGUACAGGCUGCACCCUGCUGCACAGAGUGCUCCCGGUAGACAGCAUCCAUCCAUCACUGCCUCCACAUUGUUUCAAGUUACCAGUAAAGGGUUAAGUGGGAUUUAGAGCCCCUGCAAUGCAAAAGACUAAAGAGCUCCUUUCCCCCCCACAGAGCGAUUCCCUCCAUUGGGACCAGAGCGGUGACAUCGGCGCAAAAAUCACAGAAUCAAUAAAUCACACUGGCAGCUAAACUGGACCCAUAAUUCUGAUGUGGAAAUCUGAUUCUAAAUUGAUAUUAUCUCCUUGAAACACAGCAUUAUUACCACAGAUUUGAUGUUGUAAUGGGCAAUCGGUCCCACAGAAAGGAAAGCCUCGUGGGAAUUAGCAAAUCAUCUUUACUUCCACUUGAGAACAAAUGCUCACAUAAGGCUCCAUUGCCCCAUCUGACAGACAAAUCUAAUCAUCUCCUCUCAUACAGUAUCUAGUUUCUGGAGCAUGUAAAGCGCCCCUCCCACCCACCCAGCCAGCCCUGUGGCCCACCAAGGCUCAUUAUGGGCCCAUUACACACCUGGUGACCUCUGACCCCGUCAGCACUGUGCCGGGCUAAUCAGCUCCUCGGGGACGGGAGCAGACAGACGGACGGACGGGUGAGGUCGCUCGUCCUCAUAACUGCGUGGGUGGAUUCAUCGGCUCCUCACAGAACGAUUGAAUCUCCAUCUACAAUUUACAUUGUCAGGAGUUUUUUUCUUGUUAAAAAUUCUUAUUUGGAAGCUGGUGUGAACCCACAGAGGAGACGCUCCAGUUUUAAACCUUAGAUUUAACUACCACGGUUUCUAUUUAUGUUAUUUGUUAACAAAUUACUUUAGAGACUUAUUUUGAGGAGUAUUGUUUCUAAUAAGAACUAUGUUUACGUCCUGUGUUGUUUAGAGAAUCUCAUUUUUGGAAGAUGCUUAAAGAUUUAGUAAUAUUGUAGACAAUCAUCCCAUUCCACCUUUGUGUUUGUGUGUUUAAAAAAACGUUUGUACGGAGUAGGAAUUUGUGCUCAUCGUGUACAUUUGUUGUGUAUUUUGAACAGUUUGACGGCGGAUUAGAUGACGUUGACUGAUGAUGAAGGCGAGUAAAUCCAUCAGUAACAAAAGAACCACUGUGUUGCGUGUUUCCUGGAGGGAAGGAGAAAAGACGUUUGCCUCACACACAAGAGGGAUGACCAGGAAUCAGGGAGAAGGGGUGACUCAUCGGUGUAACUUAAUCUCACACAGAUUCAAUAGAUUCUCACGGUGACGUUUUAGUCUGACACCUUUUUGUGCCGCUCAGUAUAAAAAAGCAUUAAAAAAAAACAAAGUAUUACAACAUGAAUUAAAGUGGUAUUCCUUGCCGUAGACGUGGGACAGUGUGAAAUAUUUUAUGUACCAACUAUCCCGGCCCAAAUUACUUUGUUUCACAAUAUUAUCAACAUCUGCUUAAGUCCUUUAAAAUUACACUUAAAACACACUGGAAUCCCUUUUCCCUGUGAUUUGUACGGACGAUAUCUUAAUCGCAUCCGAGAUACAAGAUUUAGUUUUUCAGUGAACAACAUUUAAUUUGAAAAACUAACAACCAACCGAACAUAAGUUAAUCAUAAACCCUGCAUAAAUUAAAGUUUUUGUUUUGUUUUGUUUUUUACUUCAUCUCACUGGGUCAAUCUCUAUAGUGGAAUUCAUUAAAAUGUAAAGAGCCUAAUGACACUAAAGCCUCAUGAGCAAAUCCCAUUCUUCAUCACCAGCUUACAACAACAUAUUCUUUCUUCCUUGGGGUAUGAGUUGCUUUAUUGGUCUGAGGAAUUAUCAUUAUAACACAUUACAAGCGAGCCUGUCCUAAGAAGCUCAUAUCUUUAACCGUUAAAUACCCGCAAUUUGAACCCUUAUAGCAUUAAAUAUUUAGGUUAAGCCUUAAGCUGCAGGGAAGAUUUCACUUAAGCCUACUUUAUUUCACAUUUCUGGGGUAUUUUGUAGGGGUUGUAGCCUAAUUUGCAUCAGACACUCGCUGUUGUGCACCUAAUGUCCUGAAUAAUUAGCAAUUCCUUAAUUUAUUCCUAUUUCCACACAUCUGACAUAUUCCCUUGGUUGCACCGAAGCCCUUGAAAUAGAGACGCAUUUUGUAAGGGUUGUAUGCAGUAACGUGUGUAUCUCCCUGGUGGGGUUUUACAUGAUUAUAAUGAACAUCUCGGUGAGGUCGUUCAGUGGUGAAAAGCACACACACACGUUGACACGGUGGCUUUAUGAAGUCUGAGGGCAUUUCAACUCUUUGAUUUGCUGCAGCGGUGACGAGGGCCUUUCCCUGCAGGCACAUAUAACGUUACACACACACACUGAAUCUGAUGCCUACUUGUUGUAUUUCUAUUUAACGUUAGAGCUACAACCGAAGUUACUUAUUCGUAACGUAAUGUAUUGUUUGGAGGUAAAGUAACUUUGGGGGGCUGUUCUCACAAAUAUUGGUAAUGUUCGCGAUCAUCAUAUUUCUGCAACCGCUCAAAAUAAGCAUAUUUAUCUAAUUAACGUUAGAUCCGUUUAAGAGGCAAAUUCAAUGUGGUUUAAAGGGAUUCUCUCUAUGGACAUUAUCAAUUAAUAAAGUCACGUUAAAAUGAACAUUUUACAAGUACAACAUACAAGUUACGCGAAGUGCACGGCCGCGAGAGUAAGAGAGUCCAGGUGGAAUUGAGCCGAUACCAGAACACGUUAGCUUAAUGCUAAAGCUAAAUCAAAGUUACGCUAGGAGCCUGCGGCCACUGGCGUUAGCUCACAUUAACCCUCGUAAUUAGAACACGGCCCUGAUUUCACCUUAAUUCAAGUCAGCGGGCUCGCCAAGCAACGACGCGCGUGAACCUCGGUGUUUACGAGGACAACAACUAAACAAAACAAAUAAAUAAUGACGUCAAUUACAAAUAAGGAAAAGAGAGACUCACAUCGGAGACGAAGAGCGACGCGACAGUUAAGUUCCGACAAGCUCGCGAGCUGCGCGUCGAGCGAGAGACACUUCGAGUGAAAACAAACGCGCGCGCGCUCCCUCUCUCUCUCUCUCUCUCCCCCCCCUCCGCUCUCGCCCUCUCUAUCUCCCCC
ensembl:lncRNA